rnacentral:rRNA from 1 species
UUAAAUUGAAGAGUUUGAUCAUGGCUCAGAUUGAACGCUGGCGGCAGGCUUAACACAUGCAAGUCGAACGGUAACAUGAGUGCUUGCACUUGAUGACGAGUGGCGGACGGGUGAGUAAGGUAUGGGGAUCUGCCGAAUGGAAGGGGACAACAGUUGGAAACGACUGCUAAUACCGUAUAAAGUUGAGAGACCAAAGCAUGGGACUUUCGGGCCAUGCGCCAUUUGAUGAACCCAUAUGGGAUUAGCUAGUAGGUGAGGUAAUGGCUCACCUAGGCGACGAUCUCUAGCUGGUCUGAGAGGAUGACCAGCCACACUGGAACUGAGACACGGUCCAGACUCCUACGGGAGGCAGCAGUGGGGAAUAUUGCACAAUGGGGGGAACCCUGAUGCAGCCAUGCCGCGUGU